GACGUAGGGCGCGAGCGUUGUCCGGAUUUAUUGGGCGUAAAGAGCGUGUAGGCGGCUUUACAGGUCCGUUGUGAAAACUCGAGGCUCAACCUCGAGACGCCGGUGGAAACCGUAAGGCUAGAGUCCGGAAGAGGAGAGUGGAAUUCCUGGUGUAGCGGUGAAAUGCGCAGAUAUCAGGAAGAACACCCGUGGCGAAGGCGGCUCUCUGGGACGGUACUGACGCUGAGACGCGAAAGCGUGGGGAGCGAACAGG
rnacentral:rRNA from 1 species